rnacentral:rRNA from 1 species
AUUGAACGCUGGCGGCAGGCCUAACACAUGCAAGUCGAACGAGUGGCGGACGGGCGAGUAAUGGCUGGGCAACUGCCUGACGGAGGGGGAUAACUACUGGAAACGGUAGCUAAUACCGCAUACCGUCGGAUCGGCCCAGGUGGGAUUAGCUAGUGGGUGGGGUAACGGCUCACCUAGGCGACGAUCCCUAGCUGGCCUGAGAGGAUGACCAGCCACACUGGAACUGAGACACGGUCCAGACUCCUACGGGAGGCAGCAGUGGGGAAUAUUGCGCAAUGGGCGCAAGCCUGAUGCAGCCAUGCCGCGUGUAUGAAGAAGGUCUUCGGGUUGUAAAGUACUUUCAGCGGGGAGGCGUUACCCGACGAGAAAGCACCGGCUAACUCCGUGCCAGCAGCCGCGGUAAUUC